UGUAAUCUGAACUGGCAGCAUCAGGUUGCAUCUUUCUGCCUAUUGGCAUGUGUGAUGGUUUAUCUCUAGACUGUUCAUGAAUCAUUCAGCAUGGCAGGGAGAGAGCUUCCUGUAUGCCUUCAAGCUGUCUCUGAGCCCUGGACAGCAAACUGACAUGAUGUGCUCGUUCAGGGUUUGCCUCUGCUGGCCUACCUUACUUUGCUGGUUCCUUGCCCCAAGACUGAGCACUGCUGUUGGAUCAAACGUAACUAAGACUUCCUGAAAGAUCUUCCUGCAAACCAGAGUCUGGGGGCAACUACAGAGAAUGCACGGUCACCUCUACACUUAUACUUCGACCUAGGGAUAACCAACAGUCUCUGUUUGGACGACCGACGUGAUCUGGUGGGAAAAUGUUCAAUCAACAGGUCAGAAAGUAGUGAACUUGCCCGCGAAAAACUGACCAAUGGCA